rnacentral:rRNA from 1 species
UACGUAGGGGGCAAGCGUUGUCCGGAUUUAUUGGGCGUAAAGAGCGUGUAGGCGGCCAGACAAGUCUGCUGUGAAAACUCGAGGCUCAACCUCGAGCUGUCGGUGGAAACUGUCUGGCUAGAGUCCGGAAGAGGCGAGUGGAACUCCUGGUGUAGCGGUGGAAUGCGCAGAUAUCAGGAAGAACACCAACGGCGAAGGCAGCUCGCUGGGACGGUACUGACGCUGAGACGCGAAAGCGUGGGGAGCGAACAGG